UCUAUCUUUUCUCUCUCAUAUCAUCAUCAACCUCUUUCCACCUGAAUCUGGUGCUCCGAGACGAUCUCUUCUCUUUCGUAGAUCAUCUUCUAGCCCUUAUUCUCCUUUCCCCGAGUUCUCGGUGAGCUUCUGGAUCGGAAUCAUCUAUCCUACUCGAUUUACUGUUUCAGCAAUUGAGGCAGAGAGAUUGAACGAGCAUAAACGACGACUAAGGGAGGGGUCUAUCGGAAUCAUCACGAUGAUGAAGAAGAAGAAGACGAGAAUCUUUGUACAGUCUGUCUGUUCUUAGACUAAGGGAGGGGUCUAUCGGAAUCAUCACGAUGAUGAAGAAGAAGAAGACGAGAAUCUUCGUACAGUCUGUCUGUUCUUAGAAUCUUCGUACAGUCUGUCUGUUCUUAGACUUUUGAUCUCUUCAGCGAAGGUGAUGAAGAUCUUCACUCCGAAAAGGUCAGUAUAUUGGAUUUUUACCCCCCAAAAUUUGAGGAUUAGAUUGUCUAGUCGAUUGUACUGUCUGGAAUUGUGCUUAUUAGUAUAUGUGUUGAUAAAUGCAGUAGUAGAAGUUGAAAAGGGUUUAAGUGAUUCAAACUGCAUUCAAAUUGAAUUGUGUAUUUGGAUUUGAUAAAGUGCUGCUUCGUGGAAUUUAAUCAGCUGCUUAUUCAACCUCAUGUAGCGUGAUGUAUGUGUUUCAAACAUUUCAUUACCUAUUGACUCACUCACCCUAUAGUCUAUUUAUAUACAGUGAGGUACACAACGUAUCUUAAUAAUUUCACACCGGAUUUUAAAAUUUAAGUUUACAACUCAAUGAACUUCCUCUUACCUUUAAAGUUUUACAGCAUAUCCGACCCUGAGAUAGGAAUGUCCUGUUGAGGCGACGCUCUUACUUGAGACACAGGCGAUUAUGUUGCAAGUACACAUGAAAAUAACCAAAGGGGUUAGAGUCAGUAAAUUCCAGUAGCUUCAUUGACGCUGCUUUCGUUUGCAACAUUCACUAUGUUGUGCGUCACUUAUUAUGCUUGAGCCUUGAUGUUUGUUUGGAUUGGAGAAAUGCAAAUUCGCUGAUUUUGUUCUAUUUUUCUGAUUUAUUCUAUUUGAUUUUAUAUUGUUUCAUUUUCUCAGUCUGACCAAGGAAUCAAAUCACAGUUCCUUUUUCAUUUUUUCUUUCUUCCAUGUAUAAUCAAACUCGGUUGUGGAAUGUGCGCAUAUAGGCUGUCAUGCCUCAUCAUCAAACUGCCGGGGAAAUUUUCGCUUAUCCGUGUUGUUACAUUCAGUUUUACAAGGAUGAAUAUACUUCAGCUUCUUUAUUCUAGAAUUGAUGGAUCCGGUUGAUGAAAUGAUCAUUUUUUUUCAGUUCAUAGUCACUGGUUACUCUUUGACGAAUCUCAGUUUGAAUACUCAUACUAAUAAUGGUGUGGUGUACAAGGCAUGAGACAAGGUGACCAAUGGGACAACAGCUUUGACCGAACUCCGGUUCGAGUAGGACGAUGAAGGUGUACUUAUUACAGUAACUGGAGAAAUCUCCAUCUUGAAAGAAAUGCAGCACAACAACAUUUUCAAGAUGUAGUGCCCAGCGAGAAGCGUUUAUAUUUGGUUUUCGAGUAUCUGGACUUGGAUCUCAAAAAGCACAUGGACUCAUGUCCUGAAUUCUCGAAGGAUCUACAUAUGAUCAAAACAUAUCUUUACCAGAAUCCCGUGGAAUUACGUAUUGCCACUGUCACAUGGUUCUUCAUCAUGAUCUAAAGUCACAAAUUUUGUUGACUGAUCGCCACACGAACUCACUAAUGCUUGUAGAUUUUGGACUGCCCAGAGCAUUCGGUAUCCAUGUCAGGACAUUUACUUAUGAGGUAGUUUAGAUGUGUUACGAUGUUUCUGGUUUUGAUGUCUGGACCUUAUCCAUUACACUUUUGUAACACUUGGGUUUUACUGCAGGAGAUAGGAUUAGAUAAUGAGGCUAUAGUUGAGAAGAAGGAUGAAUACGCUGAUAAUGUAGAACCGGUUUCAAAGAAUAAGUCCAAGAAAAUGAAAAAGAAGAAAGGCAAAGAAAGUUAUUCUAAUGUGGCAAAAGCUCAAAUCACUUUGGAUGAAACUUUAGAAGCAUUUUCUGUCGAUGCUAACUCUAAGCAAGAAAUGUUUGAGGAAACAAAAGCACAUUCUGAUUCUGCGAAAUAGAUCCCAAGUAUUGAAAUAUUCAAAACGAGUUGAGGAGAAUGUAUGGUUCAAAGGUCGUUACAUUUGUUAGGUACCUUCAUAAGGCACAUACAAGAAUAAACAUUUGUUCUCCUUUUUGGAUUUGUGAGGCUUUCCCAAGGAUGACAACUUUAAGAGUUUGUUUUAUAGUUUGCUCAUUGUUCAUCUUGGGCAUUUUAAAUCAGAAGAAGAAUGAUCACUGAUCUUCAGUUCAUUCAGCGGCUUGGACAAAGUAACUAUAUAAAGCCGUUAAGGGCACCAUUGUAUUUCUACUCUGC